UACGAAGGGGGCUAGCGUGGUUCGGAAUCACUGGGCGUAAAGCGCACGUAGGCGGAUAGUUAAGUCAGGGGUGAAAUCCCGAGGCUCAACCUCGGAACUGCCUUUGAUAAUGGCGAUCUAGAGUCCGGGAGAGGUGAGUGGAACUGCGAGUGUAGAGGUGAAAUUCGUAGAUAUUCGCAAGAACACCAGUGGCGAAGGCGGCUCACAGGCCCGGAACUGACGCUGAGGUGCGAAAGCGUGGGGAGCAAACAGG
rnacentral:rRNA from 1 species